CGGUGCAGCUGGGUGGCGGGGGCAGCUCAUCCCCUGGGAGAGGAGGAGAAACGAAUGGUGAGGGAGCAGAUCCAGUGCCCGGAGCCGCUGCUGAGCUGGACGGAGAUGCCCCCUAAGUGGCUGCACCGGGGACCCCCCUUCCUGGGAGCAAUGGGGUGUCUGUUUGUGUCGGGCUCCAGCUCUGCCCUGACCCUUGUAUGCAAACGCUGCCUCCUGCUCAUGUCUAGCUCUGAAUAUGCAUUGUGCUUAUUUGCAUAAAUGCUCCCCUCCCCCUGGA